AUCGUUCUGUGGCCCGUACGUGUGACGAUAGGGUUUUCAUGCUCAUGUGUGCAGUGUGCCCCCCUCAGACCUUCUUAGGACGUCAGCGCGUUACCCAUUUUAUG